CCCCGCGGCCUCCCGCUGGGGGUGGAGUCCGGGGGCGGGAGGCGUGACCUGCGCGAGGCGGAGGGUCACCUGCGUCAAGGAGCUGGUUUUGAGUGGCCCGGUAUGACCUCACGCCGUCAUUAGUAACUCUGGGGCAGCGGAGGGAUUCGGGGAGAUCUCAUCUAUUUGGGGCUGAGGGAAAUUCAGGUGGAAGACAAUUAAAUAACUAACCACCUCCGCAAGGGGCAGAACUCAAACCCAGGUCUCCCUCCCACGCCCUGGGCUCCAGGGAAACCCUUGGGUGUCGUUGUUGAAACAGGACGAGGCGUGACGCCGGGUCUGCUUUGUUUGGCGUGGGUUCUCACUAUGUUGCUUAAGCUGGUCUAGAACUCAAGCCAGUCUCUCACUUCAGCCUCUUGAGUCGUUGGAAUUACAGGAGCCACCAUGUCCAACUGAACGAGAUCAAGGGGAUUCUUGUGAGCAAGGUUCUUCCUGGUACCUGACUGGACCACUGGAUGAAGAAGAGGGGAAGGAAGAGGCCGCCUGAGCCCCCCAAGACAUCAGGUGCCCUCCUUAUGGUGACUGCAGAGAUCCUCGGAAGAGUCAAACAAAGGUUAUUCAAAUCCAGAGGUGUCUCCUGGACCCAAAGGGGUUCACAGAGAGGCAGGAGACCACUUGGAAAAGAGACAAGAUCUUGUUGCCCAGGCUGGUCUCAAACUUCUGAGUUCAAAUGAUACUCCCACCUCGGCCUCCUAAAGUGUUGGGAUUGCAGACCUGAGCCACUGUGCCUGGCUGAAUUCUAUUUCUAUUGGAUUGGUUGUAAAGAAGUGCAUUGUAGCCUGCAAAGAAGCAGGGCCAGUGGGGUGGAGAGGGCAGAAGUGCUACAGAGGCCCCUGCUCUCCACUGCCCUGACUGCUACUGUGCUGGAUGCUGUGUGAACCACAGCUGCAUCUGGAGGCCUUGGGCAGGCUUUUCCAAUUUGGAGGCACAAAUAAGUGAGAACUUGGGGAUCCACUGAGGUCUGAGGCAUGGUGGUACCAGAGGAGAUGAAGGGGCUUUCAGCAUGAAGCUGGUCCCCUGUUGACAGCACGCUGAUUUUCCCAUUGGGCUCUAUCAGCAUGUCCACUGUCAGGUUGGUGACAUUGUCUGCAGGUGGGAAUGCUUCGAUCACACCCCCUGGUGGGAAAAACAUGGAGUAGGUGAAAGGACACAUGCAUUUUGUUUGACUUGGGCUCAGAUUCUGCAUCUGCCACGUCUUGAGAGACUUUGGGCAAGUAGCUUACAUUCUCUGAACUUAUUUUUCUUUAUCCAUAAUAUGGGCAUAAUAAAGCCUACCUCAUUAGAUUGUUGUGCAUCUUAGAGAUACUGUAUCUAUCUAUAAUAUUUAGCCCAAUGCUUGGUAUAUUGUAGGGCUCAAUGAAUGGUAGUUUUGAUUCUGAUUAUAAUUUGAAGACACUGUGAGGAUCACUGGGUCUAUGCCCACUCAUUAAACAGGGAACCCAAGAAUUAUGGUCAAAUCCCUCAUGGGGAAUUAACUGCCCAUAGUCAACAGUUGACAUCUUGAUGACCAAUGUGCUCUUUUUGGUAAACUUCACUGCUUUUUGAAGGUUUGACAGGUUUGGGCUUUUUGCCGGCAGAGAGAACACUGACCAUCACGUCAGCCAAAGGACUUCUAUAUAAAGCCAGUUAUAAAACGUUUUUAAAAAUAUAGAACCAAGAGAUAUUGCCGUGUUUGAAGAACACAUAUGCUCUCUCUGCUGAUAAUGAGAGCUUUAUAAUUUAUUACAUUUUACCCUUUGCUUUGAAUGCCAAAAUCAUAGAGCCAAGUCUGAUGUUCAAGCACAGCAAUAACAUCUUUCUGGCUAAUUUGUGGGCUAUCUCAGUGGUGUCCACAAAAAUUACAUAGCCCCAAUCUUCUGUUUUUAGGCCCAACUUACAAAUCUUACUGUAUAUGUCCUCUUUGUAGAGAAAAAAUUUAAGAUAUUAUUUGUAAAGAGUUAAAUAAUUUACAAGUAAAAACAACAAAGUGUUCCAUAGAUAGGGUGCCGUCUAGAACCUGACAGCACUAAGAGAAACUUGGCCUGUAUUUCACAAAUUUGCUGGGGGCUGGGAGAAGUGUGACCUCUGCCUACAGGUGUAAGCCACAGACUUUGAACAGCAUACAAAGCAAAAAUGAGCAGUUUUCAAAUGCAGUCAUCUGUUACUUCAUCCAAAAAGCACUUUCCUUAAAUGUCUAUAAAUUUGGUCAGAGGUAGUCCUAACAAACACCAAGUUUCAAAAGGAAAACCGAUUUUGGAGGGUACAUAUUCAAAUCCUAAUUUUUCUAUUUGAUUUGUUUGAGACAUUAUUUUCUUCAAAUGAGGCCUACUCAUGUGUACUAUACCUAAAUACCAGUUGCUGGGGAUUUAGCAAGGUAAAUGCAACAAAACAACAAUGACAAAAAUCUACAACAGUAAAAAACCUAGUGAGUCUCUAUGCUUUGGUUAACUUUGUGGCUUUAGCUGUCACCUAUGUUUUGAAAGAUAGUGCUUCAGUGGAAACACACUAUCAUUCAUAACUUACAAGAUUACUUGGGUAUUUUAUUUCAAAGUAGCUUACUUGUACUAUCUUCUCAGCAUCAUGACCAUAACCUUUUCACUGUUAUUUUUUUUCCACACAAAGCAAUUACUUCCCCCUCUGAAAAAGGUAUUGCCACAAAGUUAGACCCUGUCGCUAC